rnacentral:lncRNA from 1 species
GGGAGCUACUGUCCCUGGGUGUAGGUGUCACGGGAAGUGGGAGAUGCAGCAGGACUCUCCUGAUGCUUCUAAGGAGAAGGCCGUGUGGAGGUGGAGGCCUGGGAGUAUUGUGCAGGGGUCAUCAAGGGCUCCACCCCUGCCCUGCCUGCCCAGCCAGCCCACUCCUCUAAGGAGUAAGCUGAGAACCUGGGCUCAGAGAGCACUGUUCAGAGUGGAGACCUCUACCCAUCUCCUCCCCAGCAGGGCUGGAAGGUGCGGGUAAGGUGCUCAGCACAGACAGUGGGGUGAAGGCCAGAGGAAUGUGGGGUAAAGCUAUUUCCUGCCCUCUCAAACCGGAGGGCCUUCUAUGGUCCUCCCUGUGUCUGUGGCUCCCUCCCAGGACUGGGGAGUAAGAGACCAGGGUCUCAGGGUCAGUUCAAUGUAGCAGAGAGAACUGGGCUUCAGCCACAUCCCAGCCCUCCCAGGGGAACCAAGCGGGUGGCCAGCUCACUGGGUGGCGAUGCCUUUCCUGUGAAGAGUGGGUCGUGUCCUCAGGGAGGUUUGGCAGCUGAGGGCACUCAGUGACUCUGACGUGGGGCUCCCUGACAUCUUGUUUUUAGAUUCCAUACUCCUCCUCAUCACCUGGUACCUAUGUGGGACCCCCUGGUGGUGGCGGCCCUCCAGGAACACCUAUUAUGCCCAGUCCCGCAGAUUCAACAAAUUCCAGUGACAACAUCUACACAAUGAUUAAUCCGGUGCCGCCUGGAGGCAGCCGGUCCAACUUCCCGAUGGGUCCCGGCUCGGACGGUCCGAUGGGCGGCAUGGGUGGCAUGGAGCCACACCACAUGAAUGGAUCAUUAGGGUCAGGGGACAUAGACGGACUUCCAAAAAAUUCUCCUAACAACAUAAGUGGCAUUAGCAAUCCUCCAGGCACCCCUCGAGAUGAC